rnacentral:rRNA from 1 species
ACGGCUCAGUAACACGUGCCAUAACCUGCCCAAGGGUCCGGGAUAACCCCGGGAAACUGGGGAUAAUACCGGAUGGAUCACUUAUGCUGGAAUGCUUGGUGGUCGAAAGGUGACGCCCUUGGAUGGGUCUGCGGCGGAUUAGGUUGACGCCGGUGUAACGUACCGGCGUGCCUGUAAUCCGUACGGGUUGUGGGAGCAAGAGCCCGGAGAUGGAUUCUGAGACACGAAUCCAGGCCCUACGGGGCGCAGCAGGCGCGAAAACUCUACAAUGCAGGCAACUGCGAUAGGGGGACAUCGAGUGGCAUCCACCUUGGGUGCCUGUCCCACCGUCUAAAAAACGGUGGUUAGCAAGGGCCGGGCAAGACCGGUGCCAGCCGCCGCGGUAAUACCGGCGGCUCGAGUGGUGGCCGAUAUUAUUGAGUCUAAAGGGUCCGUAGCCGGCUUUGCAAGUCCCCUGGGAAAUCCAGCGGCUUAACCGUUGGGCUUUCAUGGGAUACUACAUUGCUUGGGACUGGGAGAGGUAGGAGGUACUCGGGGGGUAGGGGUGAAAUCCUGUAAUCCCCCGGGGACCACCGGUGGCGAAGGCGUCCUACCAGAACAGGUCCGACGGUGAGGGACGAAAGCUAGGGGCACGAACCGGAUUAGAUACCCGGGUAGUCCUAGCCGUAAACGAUGCCCGCUAGGUGUCACGGCGGUCGUGAAUCGCCGUGGUGCCGUAGGGAAGCCGCGAAGCGGGCCACUUGGGAAGUACGGCCGCAAGGCUGAAACUUAAAGGAAUUGGCGGGGGAGCAC